GCGUCAAUAAUGAAAUCUUUGUCUUGUCUCUAAAGAGGAGUUGUCUUAAAAGUCAUGCAUAAUAGAGUUAUGCUGAGGACC
rnacentral:snoRNA from 1 species